rnacentral:rRNA from 1 species
CCUACGGGUGGCUGCAGUAGGGAAUAUUGCUCAAUGGGGGAAACCCUGAAGCAGCAACGCCGCGUGAAGGAUGAAGGUUUUAUGAUUGUAAACUCCUUUUGUUAGAGAAGAUUAUGACGGUAUCUAACGAAUAAGCACCGGCUAACUACGUGCCAGCAUCCGCGGUAAUACGGAGGGUGCAAGCGUUACUCGGAAUCACUGGGCGUAAAGAGGGCGUAUGCGGGGUAAUCAGUCAGAUGUUAAAUCCUGUAGCUUAACUACAGAACUGCAUUUGAAACUGUUACUCGUGAGUGUGGGAGAGGUAGGUGGAAUUCGUGGUGUAGGGGUAAAAUCCGUAGAGAUCAAGAGGAAUACUCAUUGCGAAGGCGACCUGCUGGAACAUUACUGACGCUGAUGCACGAAAGCGUGGGGAGCAAACAGGAUUAGAUACCCGGGUAGUC